GAUGAACGCUGGCGGCGUGCUUAACACAUGCAAGUCGAACGGAAAGGCCCAAGCUUGCUUGGGUCCUCGAGUGGCGAACGGGUGAGUAACACGUGGGUGAUCUGCCCUGCACUUCGGGAUAAGCCUGGGAAACUGGGUCUAAUACCGGAUAGGACCACAUUUUGGAUGGUGUGGUGGAAAGUUUUUCGGUGUGGGAUGAGCUCGCGGCCUAUCAGCUUGUUGGUGGGGUAAUGGCCUACCAAGGCGUCGACGGGUAGCCGGCCUGAGAGGGUGUACGGCCACAUUGGGACUGAGAUACGGCCCAGACUCCUACGGGAGGCAGCAGUGGGGAAUAUUGCACAAUGGGCGCAAGCCUGAUGCAGCGACGCCGCGUGGGGGAUGACGGCCUUCGGGUUGUAAACUCCUUUCGCUAGGGACGAAGCGUUUUUGUGACGGUACCUGGAGAAGAAGCACCGGCUAACUACGUG
rnacentral:rRNA from 1 species